GGAGCACAGGGCAGCCCUACCUGGAGAGUGAGAGAGAGCACAGGGCAGCCCUACCUGGAGAGUGAGUGGGAGCACAGCGCAGCCCUACCUGGAGUGUGAGUGUGAGCACAGGGCAGUCCGGUCUAGAGAGUGAGUGGGAGCACAGGGCAGUCCUACAUGGAGAGUGAGUGGGAGCACAGGGCAGUCCUACAUGGAGAGUGAGUGGGAGCACAGGGCAGUCCUACAUGGAGAGUGAGUGGGAGCACAGGGCAGUCCUGUCUGGAGAGUGAGUGGGAGCACAGGGCAGUCCUACAUGGAGAGUGAGUGAGAGCACAGGGCAGUCCUGUCUGGAGAGUGAGUGGGAGCACAGGGCAGUCCUGUCUGGAGGAGGGUGAAUGUGUACUCAAGGCUGAGGGGAAAGGGCAAACCCUUAAUGUGAGUGAUUGCAGUGUCCUCCCAGUGUUAGUUGGUGAGUACAAGGUAGAAUUCCGCUGUGUGCUUGCAGUUCUGGAUACUGAGUGCAGGUACUGAGCAAAAUGAUUGACAGCUGCCAAUCAAAAUUCUGAGUGAGUGCAGUGAGAGAUAUGAGUGGCUGCCGUUUACAAUCCAGCAGGCUGGGUUGCUGCACUCAUAUUAUGCGAGUUCACUAAGUGCAAAGUUAAAUCCAACAGGCGGAGUGAGUGAAGAUUCAAUCCAGCAGACUGAAAGCAGUGUUAAAACCAUCUGUCUGUAUCCU